rnacentral:lncRNA from 1 species
UUUGACGUCACCCACGCUGGCCCUCGUGUGACUCACGGCCCGGCCCUGAGCCAGAAUCUGCUCCUGUUAUUUAUUCUUCAUCUGCAACUCAUUGAUGGAUAACCAGGCAGGUCGAGGUGACUGAUAGCCCUGCAGUCCUCUCUUCACUCUAUGCUGAGGGAGAAUGACCUUUGAUUUGUGGCACUCACAGGGGCUGGCAAGGCCUGCAGUCAUUUGCAGCUGAUUCUGCUGCUUUGUGUCAUGCUUGGUGUCUUCUUGACUUCUAAUGUGUCUGAAAUGCAUAAUUGUUAGAACCCUGGGCCCCUGUAACCUUCACCGGUCAACUCUCGUCACCCCAAGCACCCUGAUGGAUUCGCGGAGCACAGAGGACAAUCCCAGCAAACGUGUUUAUCACCAAUGAGGGCUUUUGUUGCCAUCUCUUGUACCUUGGUGACUUGGGAUAGAGCAUACAUAAACCUCCAGGAUUAUUUUUCACCCUUUUAGUUUAAGGACUAGAGUGAAUGAACAACUCUUGGCCUAUUUUGUUAACCUUGACUCACACCUACUUUUUGCCCUGUGACUGAGGCAUGAAAAUACAUGUUUUUUUCCUUUAGGCCUAGAACAAAGCUGCCACCUUCCCCCACAGU